rnacentral:tRNA from 1 species
GCGGGUGUAGUUCAAUGGUAGAACUUCAGCCUUCCAAGCUGAUAGCGUGGGUUCGAUUCCCAUCACCCGCUCAA